UACGGGGGGAGCAAGCGUUGUUCGGAUUUACUGGCGUAAAGGGCGCGUAGGCGGUCAGCACAAGUCAGUUGUGAAAUCUCCGGGCUUAACUCGGAAAGGUCAACUGAUACUGUGCGACUAGAGUGCAGAAGGGGCAACUGGAAUCUCGGUGUAGCGGUGAAAUGCGUAGAUAUCGAGAGGAACACCUGCGGCGAAGGCGGUUGCUGGCUGACACGUGACGCUGGAUGCGCGAAAGCCAGGGGAGC
rnacentral:rRNA from 1 species